GAUGAACGCUGGCGGCGUGCCUAAUACAUGCAAGUCGAGCGAAUGGAUUAAGAGCUUGCUCUUAUGAAGUUAGCGGCGGACGGGUGAGUAACACGUGGGUAACCUGCCCAUAAGACUGGGAUAACUCCGGGAAACCGGGGCUAAUACCGGAUAACAUUUUGAACCGCAUGGUUCGAAAUUGAAAGGCGGCUUCGGCUGUCACUUAUGGAUGGACCCGCGUCGCAUUAGCUAGUUGGUGAGGUAACGGCUCACCAAGGCAACGAUGCGUAGCCGAGCUGAGAGGGGGAUCGGCCACACUGGGACUGAGGCAAGGCCCAGACUCCGACGGGAGGCAGCAGUAAGGAAUCUUCCGCAAAGGACGAAAGUCUGACGGAGCAACGCCGCGUGAGUGAUGAAGGCUUUCGGGUCGUAAAACUCGGUUGUUAGGGAAGAACAAGUGCUAGUUGAAUAAGCUGGCACCUUGACGGUACCUAACCAGAAAGCCACGGCUAACUACGUGCCAGCCGCCGCAGUAA
rnacentral:rRNA from 1 species